ACGCCAGACUCCUACGGGAGGCAGCAGUGAGGAAUAUUGGUCAAUGGGCGGGAGCCUGAACCAGCCAAGCCGCGUGAGGGAAGAAGGUACAGCGUAUCGUAAACCUCUUUUGUCAGGGAACAAAGGCGGGGACUAGUCCCCGGAUGAGGGUACCUGAAGAAAAAGCAUCGGCUAACUCCGUGCCGGCAGCCGCGGUAAUACGGAGGAUCCGAGCGUUAUCCGGAUUUAUUGGGUUUAAAGGGAGCGUAGGUGGAUUGUUAAGUCAGUUGUGAAAGUUUGCGGCUCAACCGUAAAAUUGCAGUUGAAACUGGCAGUCUUGAGUACAGUAGAGGUGGGCGGAAUUCCAGGUGUAGGAGUGAAAUCCGUAGAUAUCGGGAGGAACACCGGUGGCGAAGGCGGCCACCUGGACGACAACUGACGCUGAGGUGCGAAAGCGUGGGUAGCAAACAGGAUUAGAUACCCUCGUA
rnacentral:rRNA from 1 species